rnacentral:rRNA from 1 species
AACCUCCGCAAUGUGAGAAAUCGCGACGGGGGGAUCCCAAGUGCCAUUCUUAACGGGAUGGCUUUUCAUUAGUGUAAAAAGCUUUUGGAAUAAGAGCUGGGCAAGACCGGUGCCAGCCGCCGCGGUAACACCGGCAGCUCUAGUGGUAGCAAUUUUUAUUGGGCCUAAAGCGUCCGUAGCCGGUUUAAUAAGUCUCUGGUGAAAUCCUGUAGCUUAACUGUGGGAAUUGCUGGAGAUACUAUUAGACUUGAGACCGGGAGAGGUUAGAGGUACUCCCAGGGUAGAGGUGAAAUUCUGUAAUCCUGGGAGGACCGCCUGUUGCGAAGGCGUCUAACUGGAACGGUUCUGACGGUGAGGGACGAAAGUUAGGGGCGCGGAACCGGAUUAGAUACCCGGGUAGUCCUAGCCGUAAACGAUGCGGACUUGGUGUUGGGAUGGCUUUGAGCCGCUCCGGUGCCGAAGGGAAGCUGUUAAGUCCGCCGCCCGGGGAAGUACGGUCGCGAACGACUAGUAAAACGUU